CAAUAGCGUAUAUUAAAGUUGUUGCAGUUAAAAAGCUCGUAGUUGGAUUUGUGGCGUACGACGGGCUCCGGGCACUUGUUGUCUGAGUAGCUUGUCGUUGCCAUCCUUGGGUGGAACCUGUGUGGCAUUAGGUUGUCGUGCAGGGGAUGCCCAUCUUUUACUGUGAAAAAAUUAGAGUGUUCAAAGCAGGCUUAUGCCGUUGAAUAUAUUAGCAUGGAAUAAUAGGAUAGGACUUUGUCGCUAUUUUGUUGGUUUGCGCGAUAAGGUAAUGAUUAAUAGGGACAGUUGGGGGUAUUCGUAUUCCAUUGUCAGAGGUGAAAUUCUUGGAUUUUUGGAAGACGAACUACUGCGAAAGCAUUUACCAAGGAUGUUUUCAUUAA
rnacentral:rRNA from 1 species